ACUUCAAAUCCUAUUUCUAGGAACCUAACCUGUAGAAAUAUUUAUGUCUAAUACUAACAUGUGGAUAUGCAUCAUGUAUAAAGUCCCAUGUAAUGGCUCUGUUUACAUUAACCAACCGUGGGAGCCAAGUUCUAUUCACGGCUCAUUUUCUAGAUGAGCAAACAGGCAGAGACUCAGUGAGUCACUUAGUUAACAGAACCAUGAAGCCACACCGGAACGACUCAAGUACAAAAUGCUCCUUAUUGUACCGUCUCCCUCAAAUAAAUGUGCACGAGCGUUUACUGCCUUAUUACUAUAACAAGUAAAAAAAAUUAUACAACAAAUUAUCACGGAACACUAAAACACUAUACAGGAUUCAAAAGAAUGAAACCCAAAGAAUUUAAAGUACACAAUGUCAUAGUAGCAUCAUUCAUAAAAACGAAAACUGGAAUCAGCGCAAAUGUCCUCUAAUUAAGGAAUGGGUAAAAAAAAAAUAAUGGUACGUGUGAUGGAUGUUAGUCAGCUGUAAGAAGGAAUGAAGUUAUUAUUCUAUGCUACAACAUGGAUGAGUCCCACAAACAUGCAAACUGAAAAUAGUCACACGCAAAAGCCCGCACAUUUCCUUGCCGUGUUUGUAGGAGAUGCCCACAAAAGGCAGAUCAAAAACAAAAACAAAAACAAAAACAAAAAACAAAAAACAGUCGAGUUUAUUAGUUGUGAGUUGAGAGCCGGGACAAACAACUAACAGAUACAAGGAGUAUUUCAUUUUAUUGUCAACUCGACUGUGGGGUGGGGGUGGUGGUGAUACCACAGCCGUUUCAUCCAAUCAUGGCAUCAUCCUAUGGCCAAUUCUAGAAUAGAGACCUCCUUGGCCCGGUAACCAUGGUAACAUAAUAAACAGAACGAUACAGCUAUGGUAGAGAAGAGUCACAGGAAACUCACCCACCUUUUCUCCCCACCACCACUCCCCUCCCCACUACUUGCAAAUGAUUUUGGGAGGCAGCAGACUAUGUAGGAAGUGGCAGGUUCACUGAAGGUGGGAUUUCAGGAUGCAGCUUCCGUGAGGUCCGCGAUGGGCGGGCUGGGACGUCGUGAAGAUGCAGCUGUUACCCACACUCCUGUAUGUAAGCCCUCACCCACACUCCAACACAUUUGAUAUAUGUUCUUCACAUGGUCUCAUGAGGGAGAGGCUGAGGAAGCAGAGGUCCAGACCCUUCCUGUACUUGGGGCAUCUCUGAAGGACCACUCCAGCCCUAGAAUUCCUCGCAGGAUCAGAGGAGAUCCUUGCAGCAUUUGCAACAUAAUUCAGCAUAUUUCUCUGCCAGUCAAGUCACCUACACUGAUUAGAGCUGCGACACAUGAACUCACAGCUUUGGGACAGAGUGCACAAGACUUGGGAAAGCUGAAGCCACAUGAAAUCCAGCAUGGAGGGGGAGUGAGCACAAAGUCUCAGCCUUUGCUCGUUGCAAUUGGACUCUUGGUGCUGAUAUCGCUAGUUGAUACCGACUUUCUGGGAAGGACAACAAAAACAGAGUCCACAGUCCAAGCCACUUGAGUACCUAGAAGUGAGAACAGAAAAACAAGGGAUUGGUUGGAGUAACCAAGGAAACCAUUUGAUGGGGUGCUGAGAUUAAAAGUGUAUACCACUGGGCCUGCCCCUGUUUGGGCUCUUCAAGAAGAUCAUGGGAGGAAUUACUAUAACUGGGAAAUCUGAUCCAACAUGAUUUGGGAGGGAGGUGGGGGAGUUCCAGCCUAGCCCUAUGAGUGCCACCCACCUCGUAAACAUUCACAGAAAAAGUUCUUUAAACCCCAGUGUGUUGCUACAUACCUCCUCCCACCAGUCCACUCUGGGAUGUAUGUAUUACUUUGCUUUACUAAAUAAAACUCUUUCCUGAACAAA